rnacentral:lncRNA from 1 species
AAAACCUCCACAGGGUUUCUCAUGUUACAAGAGCAAAUAGGAAAGGAGCCCCAACUGGGGAUUGUAGCACUAAGUGUUAAGUUGGGUAAACACUAAAGAAACUGGAGAAUGUUCUGGGUCUCUUUACCUUCUUUUAAAUGUAAGAAGCCAGUGAAGGAAGUGGCAGCUGAACAGAAUACGGGACUGUUGUUCACCGACUCACCCCACAGGCAGGAUUGGAGAGAGGAGGUGGAAAACCUAUCCCCUGAUGGCACAGCAGAGACAGAGGUUCAGUGGAAUGUCACUGUCACUACUGAUAAAUCAAGUACGUCAUCUUUCCACUACCUCAGCACCUCGCAGAGAGAGCACAGUGGAACAGCAGGAACCUCGCAGCCGGGGUCAGAGUCCUGGGUUCUGGUCCUUAAUCUGCCUCCAUGGGCUGUGUGACUGUGGAUGAUUCAGUUCCCUUCUCUGGGCUUCAUUCAUCAGUAAAAUGGGGUGGGGAGAGGGGAGAUACUAGAGGACUCUUUUUUUUUUCCUCCAUUUUUUUUUUAUUGUGGUAAAAAACAACAUACAAUUUACCAUCGUAACCAUUUGUAAGUGUGCAGUUCUGUAGUGUUAAGUAUAUUUAUAUUGUUGUGAAAUAGAUUUUUUUAUCUUGCAAAACUGAAACUAUGCCUAUUAGACAACUCCCUGGGACGCCUGGGUGGCUCGGUUGGUUAAGCGUCUGCCUUCGGAUCACAUCUUUUGAAUAGAUACCUUAAAGUAGGAUUGCUGGAUCAUAUGGUAGUUCCAUUCUUAAUUUUUUGAGGAACCAUCCUACCUUUUUGCACAGCAGCUGCGCGGGGUUUACGUCCCCCCGCCCCGGAAGCGCACCCGAGUUCCAGUGCACCCUCACUAACACCAUCUCCUGUUUUUGUCUUGCUAGUAGCCAUCUUAAUGGGUGUGAGGCGGUAACCCUUUGUGGUUUUGACUUGCAUUUCUCUGAUGGUUACUGAUGCGGCAUCUUUUCACUUGCUUAUUGGCCAUUUGUAUAUUAUCUUUGGAAACAUGUCUAUUCAAGUCCUUUGCCCAUUUUUUGAAUGGGGAUUACUUAAUUUUUUUUGUUGUUAAGUCACAUACUAGAUGACUGUUGACUCUCCACCUUCGACAUUUGUAACUCUAGAUUCUUAGUGUCCUUAAGCAACUUUUUCAUCUCUUGAUUCCUUUCAAGAGACAGAGAAGGGGCGCCUGGGUGGCUCAGUUGGUUAGGCCUCCAACUCUUGAUUUCUGCUUAAGUCAUGAUCUCAGGGUCGUGGGUUCGAGCCCUGCAUUGGGCUCUGUGCUCAGCGGGGAGUCUGCUUGGGAUUAUCUCUCUCCCUCUGUCCCUCCUUCUCCCUUUCCCUCUCUCUCUCAAAU